UUAAAAGGGUUGCAAAUCGACUUAGAAGAGACCCGUAUUACACAGAUCCAGUCAGUGGAUAUGUAUUCCGCUCCAAAAAUGCUGUUAUGCAUUAUUUAGAGACUGGAGAGAUAAGCAGACAUGCUUUUAAACCCAAGAAUAAGUGCACCAAUGAGCUGACGUUGAUUAAUGAUGAAAGUCACGAAAUUA